rnacentral:tRNA from 1 species
AAUUAAUGAACUUGAAUAAGUAUAUGUUUUGAACACAUACCAUAGAAAUAGAAUUUUCUAUUAAUUU